AUGACCUAUCGGAUUUUACAUUUUUGCAUGUUGCGCUUAAAAAAUUAGACACAGACACUGCCCGUGCGUUUGAAUCCUAUCAGCGCUUAAAUAAUAAGGGAUGCGAAAUACCAUUGUUUGUAGAUCUAGUGUCU
rnacentral:pre_miRNA from 1 species